AUUGAACGCUGGCGGCAUGCUUUACACAUGCAAGUCGAACGGUAACAGGCCGCAAGGUGCUGACGAGUGGCGAACGGGUGAGUAAUGCAUCGGAACGUGCCCAGUCGUGGGGGAUAACUACUCGAAAGAGUAGCUAAUACCGCAUACGAUCUAUGGAUGAAAGCGGGGGACCGUAAGGCCUCGCGCGAUUGGAGCGGCCGAUGUCAGAUUAGGUAGUUGGUGGGGUAAAGGCUCACCAAGCCAACGAUCUGUAGCUGGUCUGAGAGGACGACGAGCCACACUGGGACUGAGACACGGCCCAGACUCCUACGGGAGGCAGCAGUGGGGAAUGUUGGACAAUGGGCGCAAGCCUGAUCCAGCAAUGCCGCGUGCAGGAAGAAGGCCUUCGGGUUGUAAACUGCUUUUGUACGGAACGAAACGGCUCUGGUUAAUACCCGGGGCUAAUGACGGUACCGUAAGAAUAAGCACCGGCUAACUACGUG
rnacentral:rRNA from 1 species